rnacentral:rRNA from 1 species
GGUUAAUAGGUUCGAGAUGGAAGCAUGGUGACAUGUGGAGCUGACGAAUACUAAUCGAUCGAAGACUUAAUCAA